rnacentral:rRNA from 1 species
AGAACGAACGCUGGCGGCAUGCCUAACACAUGCAAGUCGAACGAGACCUUCGGGUCUAGUGGCGCACGGGUGCGUAACGCGUGGGAAUCUGCCCUUGGGUUCGGAAUAACAGUUAGAAAUGACUGCUAAUACCGGAUGAUGACGAAAGUCCAAAGAUUUAUCGCCCAGGGAUGAGCCCGCGUAGGAUUAGCUAGUUGGUGAGGUAAAGCUCACCAAGGCGACGAUCCUUAGCUGGUCUGAGAGGAUGAUCAGCCACACUGGGACUGAGACACGGCCCAGACUCCGUACGGGAGGCAGCGAGGUGGGGAAUAGUUGGACAAGUGGGACGAAAGCCUAGGA